GGCAUAGCUCAGUGGUAGCGCAUCUGCUUGAUAAGCAGAAAUUCCUAGAUUCAAUUCCCAGAAUCUCCA
rnacentral:tRNA from 1 species